AGCACCAAUGCAUCGGAUCCCAUCAAAACUCCAUAGUUAAGCCUGCUUGGGAGAGAGUAGUACUAGGAUGGGUGACCUCCUCGGAAGCCCUCGUGUUGCACCCC
rfam:Arabis alpina cultivar Pajares scaff_61734_1_contig_0, whole genome shotgun sequence.